rnacentral:rRNA from 1 species
ACGAUGUCAACUAGUUGUCGGGGAUUCAUUUCCUUGGUAACGCAGCUAACGCGUGAAGUUGACCGCCUGGGGAGUACGGCCGCAAGGUUAAAACUCAAAGGAAUUGACGGGGACCCGCACAAGCGGUGGAUGAUGUGGAUUAAUUCGAUGCAACGCGAAAAACCUUACCUACGCUUGACAUGCCAGGAACUUUCCAGAGAUGGAUUGGUGCCCGAAAGGGAACCUGGACACAGGUGCUGCAUGGCUGUCGUCAGCUCGUGUCGUGAGAUGUUGGGUUAAGUCCCGCAACGAGCGCAACCCUUUUCCUUAGUUGCUACGCAAGGGCACUCUAGGGAUACUGCCGGUGACAAACCGGAGGAAGGUGGGGAUGACGUCAAGUCCUCAUGGCCCUUAUGUGUAGGGCUUCACACGUCAUACAAUGGUCGGUACAGAGGGUCGC